rnacentral:rRNA from 1 species
UGCCCCGCACUUCGGGAUAAGCCUGGGAAACUGGGUCUAAUACCGGAUAGGACCACUUCUUGGAGGUUGUGGUGGAAAGUUUUUUCGGUGUGGGAUGAGCUCGCGGCCUAUCAGCUUGUUGGUGGGGUAAUGGCCUACCAAGGCGUCGACGGGUAGCCGGCCUGAGAGGGUGUACGGCCACAUUGGGACUGAGAUACGGCCCAGACUCCUACGGGAGGCAGCAGUGGGGAAUAUUGCACAAUGGGCGCAAGCCUGAUGCAGCGACGCCGCGUGGGGGAUGACGGCCUUCGGGUUGUAAACUCCUUUCGCUAGGGACGAAGCGCAAGUGACGGUACCUAGAGAAGAAGCACCGGCUAACUACGUGCCAGCAGCCGCGGUAAUACGUAGGGUGCGAGCGUUGUCCGGAAUUACUGGGCGUAAAGAGCUCGUAGGUGGUUUGUCGCGUCGUUUGUGUAAGCCCGCAGCUUAACUGCGGGACUGCAGGCGAUACGGGCAUAACUUGAGUGCUGUAGGGGAGACUGGAAUUCCUGGUGUAGCGGUGGAAUGCGCAGAUAUCAGGAGGAACACCGAUGGCGAAGGCAGGUCUCUGGGCAGUAACUGACGCUGAGGAGCGAAAGCAUGGGGAGCGAACAGGAUUAGAUACCCUGGUAGUCCAUGCCGUAAACGGUGGGCGCUAGGUGUGAGUCCCUUCCACGGGGUUCGUGCCGU